UGUGCCAGCAGCCGCGGUAAUUCCAGCUCCAAUAGCGUAUAUUAAAGUUGUUGCGGUUAAAAAGCUCGUAGUUGGAUCUCGGCGGGCAGGGGGUGGUUCGCUCUUCAGCGCUACUGCCCCGCUUUGCCCGUGUGAUUGGCGGAGGUUUCGGGGUGCUCUUCGUUGAGUGACUCGGAGCGCCGUCAGGUUUACUUUGAAAAAAUUAGAGUGCUCAAAGCAGGCUUUUCACGCUUGAAUAUUCGUGCAUGGAAUAAUGGAAUAGGAACUCGUUUCUAUUUUGUUGGUUUUCGGAAAUCGAGUUAAUGAUUAACAGGGACAAUUGGGGGCAUUAGUAUUCAGACGACAGAGGUGAAAUUCUUGGACCGUCUGAAGACUGACUACUGCGAAAGCAUUUGCCAAGAGUGUUUUCAUUAAUCAAGAACGAAAGUUAGAGGUUCGAAGGCGAUCAGAUACCGCCCUAGUUCUAACCAUAAACGAUGCCAGCUAGCGAUCUGCCGAGUUUUUUUUGUAGGCUCCGCAGGAAGCUUUCGGGAAACCAAAGCUUUUGGGUUCCGGGGGAAGUAUGGUUGCAAAGCUGAAACUUAAAGGAAUUGACGGAAGGGCACCACCAGGAGUGGAGCCUGCGGCUUAAUUUGACUCAACACGGGAAAUCUCACCAGGCCCGGACACUGGAAGGAUUGACAGAUUGAGAGCUCUUUCUCGAUUCGGUGGGUGGUGGUGCAUGGCCGUUCUUAGUUGGUGGAGUGAUUUGUCUGGUUAAUUCCGAUAACGAACGAGACUCUGUCCUGCUAAAUAGUUGGGUCGUCCUUCGUGCGAUCCAAGUUCUUCUUAGAGGGACUGGCUGCGUCUAGCAGCACGAGAUUGAGCAAUAACAGGUCUGUGAUG
rnacentral:rRNA from 1 species